rnacentral:rRNA from 1 species
UGGGGAAUUUUGGACAAUGGGGGCAACCCUGAUCCAGCCAUCCCGCGUGUGCGAUGAAGGCCUUCGGGUUGUAAAGCACUUUUGGCAGGGAAGAAACAGCCUGGGCUAAUAUCCCGGGCGACUGACGGUACCUGCAGAAUAAGCACCGGCUAACUACGUGCCAGCAGCCGCGGUAAUACGUAGGUGGCAAGCGUUGUCCGGAUUUACUGGGCGUAAAGGAUGCGUAGGCGGAUACUUAAGUCAGAUGUGAAAAUCCCGGGCUUAACUUGGGAACUGCAUUUGAAACUGGGUAUCUAGAGUGCGGGAGAGGAAAGUGGAAUUCCUAGUGUAGCGGUGAAAUGCGUAGAGAUUAGGAAGAACACCAGUGGCGAAGGCGACUUUCUGGACCGUAACUGACGCUGAGGCAUGAAAGCGUGGGGAGCAAACA